UACGAAGGGGGCUAGCGUUGCUCGGAAUCACUGGGCGUAAAGGGUGCGUAGGCGGGUCUUUUAAGUCAGGGGUGAAAUCCUGGAGCUCAACUCCAGAACUGCCUUUGAUACUGAAGAUCUUGAGUUCGGGAGAGGUGAGUGGAACUGCGAGUGUAGAGGUGAAAUUCGUAGAUAUUCGGAAGAACACCAGUGGCGAAGGCGGCUCACUGGCCCGGUACUGACGCUCAGGUGCGAAAGCGUGGGGAGCAAACAGGG
rnacentral:rRNA from 1 species